UACGAAGGGGGCUAGCGUUGCUCGGAAUUACUGGGCGUAAAGCGCACGUAGGCGGUCUUUUAAGUCGGGGGUGAAAUCCUGGAGCUCAACUCCAGAACUGCCUUCGAUACUGGAAGACUCGAGUCCGGGAGAGGUGAGUGGAACUGCGAGUGUAGAGGUGAAAUUCGUAGAUAUUCGGAGGAACACCAGUGGCGAAGGCGGCUCACUGGUCCAUUACUGACGCUGAGGUGCGAAAGCGUGGGGAGCAAACAGGG
rnacentral:rRNA from 1 species